AACGAACGCUGGCGGCAUGCUCAACACAUGCAAGUCGAACGAGACCUUCGGGUCUAGUGGCGCACGGGUGCGUAACGCGUGGGAAUCUGCCCUUUGCUACGGAAUAACUCAGAGAAAUUUGUGCUAAUACCGUAUAAUGUCGAAAGACCAAAGAUUUAUCGGCAAAGGAUGAGCCCGCGUAGGAUCAGGUAGUUGGUGAGGUAAAGGCUCACCAAGGCGACGAUCCUUAGCUGGUCUGAGAGGAUGAUCAGCCACACUGGGACUGAGACACGGCCCAGACUCCUACGGGAGGCAGCAGUGGGGAAUAUUGGACAAUGGGCGAAAGCCUGAUCCAGCAAUGCCGCGUGAGUGAUGAAGGCCUUAGGGUUGUAAAGCUCUUUUACCCGGGAUGAUAAUGACAGUACCGGGAGAAUAAGCUCCGGCUAACUCCGUGCCAGCCGCCGCCGUAACAC
rnacentral:rRNA from 1 species